GACGAACGGCUGGGCGGCGUGCCUAACACAUGCAAGUCGAGCGGAGUUGAUCGACGGAAGCUUUCGGGCGGAAGAUGAUUAACUUAGCGGCGGAUGGGUGAGUAACGCGUGGGCAACCUGCCUCGAAGACCGGGAUAACAGUUCGAAAGGGCUGCUAAUACCGGAUGUGGUCAAGUGUCAGCAUGGGCAUUUGAUUAAAGGGGAAACCCGUUUCGAGAUGGGCCCGCGUCCUAUCAGCUAGUUGGUGAGGUAAAGGCUCACCAAGGCAAUGACGGGUAGCCGGCCUGAGAGGGUGACCGGCCACACUGGAACUGAGACACGGUCCAGACUCCUACGGGGGGCAGCAGUGGGGAAUCUUCCACAAUGGGCGAAAGCCUGAUGGAGCGACGCCGCGUGAGCGAAGAAGGUCUUCGGGUUGUAAAGCUCUGUCUGGAGGGACGAAGAAAGUGACGGUACCUCCGGAGGAAGCCACGGCUAACUACGUG
rnacentral:rRNA from 1 species